AUCGAACGCUGGCGGCAUGCCUAACACAUGCAAGUCGCACGGAUCUUUCGGGAUCAGUGGCGGACGGGGGAGUAACGCGUAGGGAUCUAUCCAUGGGUCGGGGUCAACUCCGGGAAACUGGAGCUAAUACCGCAUCAUACCUGAGGGUCAAAGUGGCAAGUCGCCUGGGGGGGCACCUGCGUUCGAUUAGAUAGUUGGUGGGGUAAAGGCCUACCAAGGCGAUGAUCGAUAGCCGGUAAGAGAGGAUGAUCAGCCACACUGAGACUGAGACACGGCCCAGACUACUACGGGAGGCAGCAGUGGGGAAUAUUGGACAAUGGGCGAAAGCCUGAUCCAGCAAUGCCGGGUGUGUGAAGAAGGUCUUCGGAUUGUAAAGCACUUUAGUCGGGGACGAUGAUGACGGUACCAGUAGAAGAAGCCCCGGCUAACUUCGUG
rnacentral:rRNA from 1 species